GCCUCGGUGGCUCAGCCGGUUCUCACGCGGCAAAGAGCACGUCCUUGGUAAGGACGGGGUCGCGAGUUCAAAUCUCGCCCGAGGCUCCA
rnacentral:tRNA from 1 species